AAGCUGCGAUAAGUGAUGUGAAUUGCAGAAUUCGUGAAUCAUCGAAUCUUUGAACGCACAUUGCGCCCGCCAGCACUCUGGCGGGCAUGCCUGUUCGAGCGUCAUUUCAACCCUCAGAACCCCUUGCGGGAUCUGGCGUUGGGGAUUGGCAUCCAGCCAGCCCCGAAAUCUAGUGGCGGUCCCUCCGCGACCUCCCCUGUGCAGUAGCGAUACCUCGCAGCGGGACAGCGGUCUGACCACGCCGUAAAACCCCCAACUUCUCAAGGUUGACCUCGAAUCAGGUAGGAAUACCCGCUGAACUUAAGC
rnacentral:misc_RNA from 1 species